rnacentral:lncRNA from 1 species
GGGGGGUAGGGAGCAAACAACAGUGGUGUCUUAGCUGCCUGCCACAUUAAGGCAUAAUACAGUUUUAUCUGCUGGAGAGAAAAUGUCUUCCAAAGUAAGUCCAUGUAGUAUGAAGCAACCAUGGAGUAGAGUGCUCAGCCUGUUUUUCUGACCCUCCAGCAGUAUUGUUAGAACUACAGACAGGAAGACUCUGCAGAAUGAAGUCCUGCAACAGCAAGCCUGUGGGUUUUCAAAAUGUGUCUAUGUUUUGUGGUCUCAACUGAAGACUUAAUUACAGCUCUUCUAUUACUCCACAAGUGCUACCAAAGAGAGUUGCAAGAGCAUUCAGCAAUAUUCAAGGAGGAACAACAUCAGUGUUUCAAAUGAACUCACUGACUGAACUAGCAUUGCUGCACAUCACACCCAGGUAUUUUGCCACCAACCUCAAUGUGCCUCUUGCUGUGUGAAGUCCUUUCGAGCAGUAACUCCCCUGCCAGCUUGAGCAGUAUUACAGAAGAAAGAGUUCUCAGUGUCACAGCAGGACUCCAGCAAGAUGGUAUUCCAGUUCCUGGAAUCAGGCACCUGUGCAAAACAGCUCUGAUGAGUUACAAAUCAUCAGGACCCCGCUGAUUUCACUAGAAUUUCUGAGUGCUCUUAGGUGUCUUCCUCCUGCUU